rnacentral:rRNA from 1 species
GUGGGGAAUAUUGGACAAUGGGCGCAAGCCUGAUCCAGCCAUGCCGCGUGUGUGAAGAAGGUCUUCGGAUUGUAAAGCACUUUAAGUUGGGAGGAAGGGCAGUAAGUUAAUACCUUGCUGUUUUGACGUUACCGACAGAAUAAGCACCGGCUAACUUCGUGCCAGCAGCCGCGGUAAUACGAAGGGUGCAAGCGUUAAUCGGAAUUACUGGGCGUAAAGCGCGCGUAGGUGGUUUUGUAAGUUGGAGGUGAAAUCCCCGGGCUCAACCUGGGAACUGCCUCCAAAACUGCAUGACUAGAGUACGGUAGAGGGUAGUGGAAUUUCCUGUGUAGCGGUGAAAUGCGUAGAUAUAGGAAGGAACACCAGUGGCGAAGGCGACUACCUGGACUGAUACUGGCACUGAGGUGCGAAAGCGUGGGGAGCAAACAGGAUUAGAUACCCCGGUAGUCC